rnacentral:rRNA from 1 species
UGGGGAAUAUUGGACAAUGGGGGAAACCCUGAUCCAGCAAUGCCGCGUGUGUGAAGAAGGCCUUCGGGUUGUAAAGCACUUUUAGUCAGGAAGCGUUACUUGCAGAAAAAGAACCGGCUAACUCCGUGCCAGCAGCCGCGGUAAUACGGAGGGUGCAAGCGUUAAUCGGAAUUACUGGGCGUAAAGCGCGCGUAGGCGGCUUGCUAAGUCGGAUGUGAAAUCCCCGGGCUCAACCUGGGAACUGCAUUCGAUACUGGCUGGCUAGAGUGUGGUAGAGGGAAGUGGAAUUCCAGGUGUAGCGGUGAAAUACGUAGAUAUCUGGGGGAACAUCAGUGGCGAAGGCGGCUUCCUGGACCAACACUGACGCUGAGGCGCGAAAGCGUGGGGAGCAAACAGGAUUAGAUA